rnacentral:lncRNA from 1 species
UAGAGAAUAACAACAAAUGCUAAAGAAUAGGAAGUGCAACUAAAGAAUAGGAAUUGUUGAGAUACGUAACAGACUCAACAAACAAUUAGACCAAGUCUUCCAUCUUGCCACUACACUACGUGGUCUGAUCUAGUGCGUGUAAAGUGGUACGUAUCAUUCCCCACCGCUUAAGGAUCCUUGUCCACAAGGAUGAAAUUAGGAUAUGACUUGGUGAAACGCCACUCAUUCUCCCAGGUUGCGUCUUCUACUGGUACACCAAUCCAUUUCACCAGGAUUUCAGAUUUGGGGCAGUAUUUACCCUUAUGGAUUACGCGGCGAUCUAAGACAACUUCGGGUUGGGGAAAGAUAGUCGAAAUAUCCAAGAUAGGGGGAAGUUGGGUAGAUGUUGGACUAACUGGACCCAAAUGCUUUCUUAACAAACUGACAUGAAACACGUCAUGAAUUUGAGAACCAGGAGGCAAAGCCAGUUUAUAAGCCACCAGACCAACCUUCUCAAUGACUUUGUAUGGACCAAAGAAACGUGGGGCGAGCUUCAUGGAAGCCCGAAAAGCCAAGAAGUUUGUCGAUAGGGCUGGAGUUUCAAAUACACAUAAUCUCCCACCAGGAACGAUACCUCGCGCCGGUGUUGGUCCACUUAACAUUUCAUCCGAUCUUGAGCCAACAGAAGGUUAUGUCGUAGCUCACGUAGGACGACAUCUCGGUCACACAGGUACUCAUCUACUGCUUGGACGCGGGAAGUGCCUGGUAUAUAAGCUAAUAGACUUGGAAGUGGAAUGUCGUAAACGGCUUCGAAGGGUGUCAUCUUGGUGGAGGAGUGAGUGGAAGUGUUGUAGCUGAACUCGGCCCAGGGAAUCCAUUCGAGCCAUUUCCGCGAUUGUUCCCCUACAAAACAUCGUAAAUAUUGCUCCAAAGUUCUAUUGACAACUUCCGUUUGGCCGUCAGAUUGGGGAUGGUAACUUGAGCUCAUACACAACUUGGUUCCCUACAGCUGGAACAAUGUUCGCCAAAAGAAGAUGAUAAACACUUUGUCCCGGUCGCUAACGAUGGAUGUCGGAAUACCGUGCAAGCGAACCACGUUGGCAACAAAUGCCUUGGCGAUAAUUACAGCAGUAAAUGGAUGUUUCAAGGCUACGAAGUGAGCAUAUUUUGUCAAUCGAUUGACGACCACCAUGAUGGCAGUGAUAUUAAAAAUUUGGAUACAAUGGAGAAAAGAAACACUCUCAAACACUCUCUUGAUAUAAUAAAACUCUCAAAGUUACAAAAUAAGAACAAGAAGAAGAAGAACACAAGAAAGGCUCAAACAAGUUCUUGGAACUUUGUCCAAAGACUCUAUUUCCUCCCACCACUAGAAAUCUUUAGGAAACUAAUGGAAAUAGUCUUGUGAUUGAUCAAGCUUUUUCACAUUUUUGCAUAAGAUUUCAAAAAGAAGAAAAGUCAUAUAUAGCACUCUUAGGGUUGAAAAAUGGUUACAAGGAUGAGAAAAAACCUAUUGUCUUCCUCAAUCUCUUCAUCUUUGUAACAUUCAAAAAUUAAAUCAUAUGUUUAAUUUACACAUUAAACAUGAUUUAAUUUCAAAUGUGUAACUCUCUUACACUUAACCUCUUAAGUUUUAUAAAGUUACAAAGAUGAGAAGACUCAUUGUCUUCCUUAACCUUUCAAGUUUUGUAACAUUUCAAAACUUAAUCAUGUGUUUAAUUCACACAUUAAAAGUGUAACCCUUCUUACACUUUAUUUUCAAAAGUUAUUUUUCAAAAGUGUAACUCUUCUUACACUUUAUUUUUAACCAACAAUAUAUAUAUAUAUUUAUAUAAAUAUAACAGGCAGUAUAUCCAUUAGAAGAUGGUAACCCCUCAAUAAAGUCCAUUGAGACAUCAGUCCACAUUUGAGUAGGAAUGGGUAGCGGUUGAAGCAACCCCACCGGCUUCAUAUAAUCGGUUUUGAACCGUUGAUAGACAUCACAUCGUUGCAAAAAAAUCCUUCAUCAUCUGGCGCAUAUUAGAACAAAAGAAACUCUGUUUGAUACGGGAGAGAGUUUUAUGAAACCCAAAGUGCCCACCUAUUGGCAAUGAAUGGCAGUCAACCAUUAUCUUUGGAAGCAAGGGUGAGGUGGGACUCAAAUAGACUUUGUCUUUUUUGAACCACACUCCAUCAUGUUAGAGCGGCUUGAGUUGGGUGUUUUUGUAAGAAGUCUGCAUAAUAUGAGUUAUGUUGGACUUCUUUUUUAUGCAGUGGCCACCAAUCUGCACGUGGUUGAGAAAUAGAUAAAAAUUGGAAUUCAACUACACGUGACAAAGAAUCUGCACCUUUAUUUUCAGGCCCACGUUUAUACUCCAUUACGUAAUCAUAACCGAGUAUUUUUGGCAGCCAUAUUGUUUGUGUCGGUGUAGUAAUUCAUUGCUCCAGUAGGUGUUUGAGACUUUUUUGGUCAGUGCGUACUGUAAAUAGUUUCCCUAGAAAGUAUGGACGCCAUUUCUUAAUUGCUUUUACGAUAGCCAACAUUUCUUUCUCGUAUGUGGACAAG